UCCGGACUUCAAAGAGCAAAGUGCCAGUUAAUUGCUGGGGGACGUGAGUCUACGGCUAGUGCAACAGAAAAUAAACCGCCAUUUAAUGGUAAGGGUGAAAAGGUAAGGUAAGAGCUUACCGCCUAAGUUAAAUUAGGGCAUGGCAAACCCCACUUGAAGCAAUGCCAAAUAGAGAUCUAAAUACGUUGCUCGCGUAAGAUCAGGGUAGGCAGCAUGAAUGUUUUGGCGACAAAACAUCUAGAUAAAUGAUGGCUUAAAACAGAAUCCGGCUUAUAGACCAACUCACUCC
rnacentral:RNase_P_RNA from 1 species